rnacentral:tRNA from 1 species
GGAUUUUUAGCUCAGUUGGUUAGAGCGCCACGUUGACAUCGUGGAGGUCGGCGGUUCGAAUCCGCCAGAGUCCA